GAUGAAGAACGUAGCGAAAUGCGAUAAGUAGUGUGAAUUGCAGAAUUCAGUGAAUCAUCGAAUCUUUGAACGCACAUUGCGCCCUAUGGUAUUCCGGGGGGCAUGCCUGUCCGAGCGUCAUUACAACCCUCAAGCUCAGCUAGGUGUUGGGCCCCGCCGCCCCGGCGGGCCCUAAAGUCAGUGGCGGUGCCGUCCGGCUCCGAGCGUAGUAAUUCUUCUCGCUCUGGAGGUCCGGUCGUGUGCUCGCCAGCAACCCCCAAUUUUUUUCAGGUUGACCUCGGAUCAGGUAGGGAUACCCGCUGAACUUAAGCAUAUCAAUAAGCGGAGGA
rnacentral:misc_RNA from 1 species